GAUGGGAAUCGUAUUGAAGACCUUCAGAGAAUAUACUCACUCUUUUCAAGGAUCAGUGCACUUGAAUCACUGAGGCAGGCCCUUAGUUCAUAUAUCAGGAAAACUGGGCAGGGCAUUGUUAUGGAUGAAGAGAAAGAAAAAGAUAUGGUUUCAUCCCUUCUGGAUUUUAAGGCUUCUCUUGAUACAAUAUGGGAAGCAAGCUUUUUCAAGAAUGAAGCUUUCAGUAACACCAUUAAAGAAGCAUUUGAGCAUCUUAUCAAUCUUCGCCAGGUACUUUCCAUUUCUCUGUUGUCAUUUUGUUGGUAAGUUAAGGUAAUGAUUUUCUUAGCAAUGUCUCAAUGUAGGAAGCUGUGCCAGUUAGUUUUGGGUCAAAUCAUCUUGUGCUUUCUUGUUUGUGGUAGCCUUUCCUUUCUCCUCAAGUUCCUAGCUACACUAUUACCAUAAUGAUUAAAUCAAGGAACUCAAUGCCAAAACGCCCCUUGUUGUUCUACUAAAAGCAUGUUAUUUGCCCAUGUGUAGUAUGUGGACUGACGCGCUGCGCUCAGGAAGUUUAUUGCAGGGAGAACAAAAGAUAGAUAGUGGUUCAAAAGAAUCAGUUAAUUAUAAGUUUGUAACUUUUUCAAAUAACAUAUGAUUCUCUCUUGCUAAAAUCUUUCAUGGUAUCCUUACAUAACCAGGUCUAUUUUGGUUAGUAUUGGUUCAUUCAUCUUUGACGAUUUUGUUCCAUUUUUCUGCUGAUAUGAAAGGAAAGUUUAACUAUUAAGAUCUGCAUCUAAUAACUGAUCCUCUACUUGAUAUUGACGUCAAAGAAUGCUUAUCUGCUAUAUGAUUAUGUUGUAACUAAUGAUCCUAAUUUGAUCAAAAUUAUACUAGUAUACUUUGCCCAUGAGAAGGAUUCUGGAACAGCUAAGAUUUGCCUUUUGGUCCUUAGCUUAGGUCAAGCAUUUUUUUUACAAUGUGGGAUUUGAUUAUGCAUGUGAUUUUCUAUCAACUGAUGGGUUCUGCUUUUUUUUGCCAUGACAGAAUCGACCGGCUGAGUUGAUUGCCAAGAUACAUGCAGCAAUCAGAUGUUCCAGAUUAUUUGAAGCAUGUUGAGGUGCUUCCUUUUCUGUAUCCCGAUGUAUUUUCUUCUCAGCUUUAGUUAUUGACAUUGCCAUAUGCUCCUUUUAGUAAUUCAUUAAUAAUUGAAUGGAUCAUGUCAUGUCUCUCUUUUUAUAUUCAAAAUCCUUUCCCAUGUUCCACAUUUUAUAUUUACUGUAGGGAUAUUUUUGGAUACUCAUUUUUGCAGACAAGAUUGCAAGAGGAACAUGAAAGAUGCUUGAUCUACUUGGAUGCAAGUACUAGGAAGCCAUUGAUAGCAACAGCAGAAAAGCAACUUCUUGAACGUCAUAUACCUGCUAUUCUUGAUAAGGUUCUGAUCACCAUCAGCUUCAGGAUUUUUAUCCGGUGCUUUCUUUUUUAAUUCUUUUUAAUCGUUGUUUCAAUUUUAUUUCCCUUGUUACAGGGUUUCUCUAUGCUUAUGGAUGGGAAUCGUAUUGAAGACCUUCAGAGAAUAUACUCACUCUUUUCAAGGAUCAGUGCACUUGAAUCACUGAGGCAGGCCCUUAGUUCAUAUAUCAGGAAAACUGGGCAGGGCAUUGUUAUGGAUGAAGAGAAAGAAAAAGAUAUGGUUUCAUCCCUUCUGGAUUUUAAGGCUUCUCUUGAUACAAUAUGGGAAGCAAGCUUUUUCAAGAAUGAAGCUUUCAGUAACACCAUUAAAGAAGCAUUUGAGCAUCUUAUCAAUCUUCGCCAG
rnacentral:lncRNA from 1 species